AUAGUGGUACAAUGAAAUUGCAUAUUUGCUUAGCGACAUGAUACAUACUUGCAAUGAGCACGGUGCCUGUGUUUACUAUAGAAAGCAACAGCCCAUGCUUGGUUAGGUUAGGCCCACUACAACAUGCAGGCAUGGGUGAUUGGCGCUUUUUUUAUUUCUGUAUCGUGAGGUUUAUUGACGUGCGUAUAGGUGCAGUGGCACGCAGUAUGGCUAGUACAAAAAAGGGGGGGGGCAGAUAUAUGUAGCUCACUGUACACGAUACAGGGCAAAGGAAAUCCGUGUUCAGCAACUAUGUUAAAUGCCAUGUACGUAAAUUUUACAACGCUACUCGUUCGAAGCGCGCACAGGUGCAUAUUGAAGAAAAGUUUCCAGGGUAGAUAAUUUAGUUCGUAAUUUACACUAAUUUUGCUCUAACCACGAGACAUAAUAAUUUGAAUAUACUGCACGGAAAAACCUAGAGCGAAUUAAAUUGUGUGUCAGCUUCGUGUGUAUACAUAUAGUCUUCCCUAUGCAUUAGGUUUUUUGCGUAAUGCAUUAACAGUUGACAGCCUAUCUUAUGAUGUGUACUCUGUUUACAUUACAGUUGUUUAUUAGUUUACUCGUUUGUUUUGCGACUGAUGAAAUGCCGGCAUAUAUAUAUUUUCAACAUUUGACAUAACCCUGUAUGUUUUUCAGGGACAACCCAGGACGUGCAUUUCUCAGCACCCAGUCAACUGCCAAAAGUGACUCAAACACAGGCCACCAGUGGAACUCGGCUGUACCACUGCAGUGCUGCGGAAAUUGCCUUCACCAGCGGCUUUGCAACAGCUGUUUCGCAGCAUGUCGGAGACAAUGCCUACGAAAUUAUUGGCCCUGAUCAUGAGAGCCCUCAAGGGGCAAACAACAUCUCUGUUGCAGAAGUGAGCCCGGUACCACUUGGAAGUUACCAUGACAGAUGACACGGCAGCAAUAGAUACAGAGACUGCCACGUCUACUGCAGCUGCAACAGUGUACGAGGCAAGCAGCAGCGCGUCAGCAGCAGUGUCAGAAGGAACCACACCAGGCCUGGUAGAGCAACAUGUGUGCUAUCACUGACUUUUUUUGUAGUGGAUACAACUCAUUUGCUCAACAUACAAAAGCUUUUCACCACGACUGUGAGCCAGUGUUAUUGUGCAGCAAGUGCAAGACUAAGUUAGGUGUUAUAACACAGCACAAGCAUCACUUUAAUAUAUGCAAAUGCAAACAUAUUACAGUUGUUGCCUCCCCAGCCAGCCCACAUAGCCACAACAAUGUUGAACACAUGGUGGGACACACAUCUUCUCCAUUAGAAGAUAGUAGAGACUGUCAGUGUUGUUGUUAGAUUAACUGGUCUUUGUAGGCAACUAGGACAACACAGGUGUCAUAAGAUUGUUGUUGAUGUUGUUGUUGAAGAGGUAAAAAAGAAGUUUGAUGCAGCUGAAGUGCCAACUGAUAUUGAGCAAAUCAAAAGCAACCACCUGAGAAAGCAACACUAUCAAAAUUUGGGUAUCUAUGUGCCGCCAACUCUGGUAAGAAUGGCAUAGGACAGAAGUGUGAUGAAAAUCACACAGACACUGCUGUUGCAUCACUGGCCACAGUGAGCAGCGACUUGUAGGGCAAGAGAGUCAACUGAAACUAACAUUAUGAUAUAGUGUCAUGCUCCCAUGUGACCACUUUUCAAGUUAUUUUGCAAGAUACAGCUCAACCUCCAGAAACGAGACUGCAAGUUGUCUGUAAAAAAGCUUUCACAAAAAAUUAUUCAUAACACCAUUAACAUAGCAGUAUCUUUUUUUUUGUGUCGGUUCGAGGUUCCCGGCUGUCCAUUAAUGCAAAAAUUGAGGAAAAAAAGAACAUGUGUCGUACUUACACCUUUUUAACAAGUACGAGGGGGACAGAACUUUUCUAGUCAUGCAUCUUCAUCAUACUAUCAAGUUUUUAAAUGCCUUUUAUAAUUAUUGUUACCAGUUAUAUCUGAGUGCAUUGUAUGCAUGUAGCAGGUGUAAAAUCAGGUCAGUUGGAUCAGAUGCCUUAUCUGCAAGCGAGCCCUAUAUUCAAGAAAUUUGAAAUAAAAUAGUUACGUUAGAGACGCAGUCUUUCAGCACUUUAUUGCCUGUGGUUUAAGCAUUGCUCAAUACUUUUGUGGGUGGCAAUUUCAACCAGCACAGCACUGCGCUUUGCCACAGUCACAUUUGUCUUCAAAGGGGUGUUUACCAUUUGUGUUGAUCUGUUUGUGUAUGCAUAGAGCAAGUUUUUAAUUUAUAUUUUUCUGCAUUCUUGUGCUUGCACUAAGCUUGUAUAAGGCAGUUACAAAAUGUGCGGCACUAUAACGAACUGUUCUGUUGAGCUUACACUUGCAAAUAAUCGUGUUCAGAUGGCCGCACUUCUAUGCGGGUGCACCGCUAGCUUUGUGUAUGUUCUCAUGUUUGUAUAAAGCUUAUAUAAGCUAGUUAGAAAAUGUAUGUCACUAAGCAUUGUGAUAUUCUUUAAAGAACUGCUUGGUUGGUUUUACACUUGUGAAUUAGUAUUGAGGCGGUGGUAUUCCCAUGUAUGCCCACUGCUAGCUUUCUGUGUCCUCACGUGUUUGUAUUAAGUUUCUACAAGGGAGUUACAGCAUGUACGUCACUAAGCGCUGUGAUAUUUUUUAAAGAACUGCUUUGUUGGUUUUACACCUGUGAGUAAUAGUACUCGUGUGGCACUAGUCAUGUGUAGGUACACAGGGACCAUUUGUAUACAUUAUGCUCAUGUAAAGCAGUUACAAAGUGUAUGUCACUAAUUACUGUGAUAUUUGUUGAAUUGCUGUGAUGGUUUUACACAUGUGAAUAAUAGUGGUCAGGACACAGUACUUGCGGUGUAUAGUUGAAUUUAUACACUGCCAAGACAUGGGCUGUAUACGUACUAAAAGAAAGGUAUGUCAUUAUAUUGUU
rnacentral:lncRNA from 1 species